AGCAGCCGCGGUAAUUCCAGCUCCAAUAGCGUAUAUUAAAGUUGUUGCAGUUAAAAAGCUCGUAGUUGAAUUUCGGGGUCAAUAAGUUGGUCAUGCCAAUGGUAUGCACUGGCUUUAUUGAUUCCUACCUCUUGACGAACUGUGAUGCCAUUAAUUUGGUGUUGCAAGGAAUCAGGACUGUUACCUUGAAAAAUUAGAGUGUUUAAAGCAAGCUUACGCUUGAAUACAUUAGCAUGGAAUAAUGAAAUAGGACGUUUGAUCCUAUUUUGUUGGUUUCUAGGAUCGACGUAAUGAUUAAUAGGGAUAGUUGGGGGCAUUAGUAUUCAAUUGUCAGAGGUGAAAUUCUUGGAUUUAUUGAAGACUAACUACUGCGAAAGCAUUUGCCAAGGAUGUUUUCAUUAAUCAAGAACGAAAGUUAGGGGAUCGAAGACGAUCAGAUACCGUCGUAGUCUUAACCAUAAACUAUGCCGACUAG
rnacentral:rRNA from 1 species